UACGUAGGGUGCAGGCGUUAAUCGGAAUUACUGGGCGUAAAGCGUGCGCAGGCGGUUUCUUAAGUCAGAUGUGAAAGCCCCGGGCUUAACCUGGGAACUGCGUUUGAAACUGGGAGACUUGAGUGUGGCAGAGGGGGGUGGAAUUCCACGUGUAGCAGUGAAGUGCGUAGAUAUGUGGAGGAACACCGAUGGCGAAGGCAGCCCCCUGGGUUAACACUGACGCUCAUGCACGAAAGCGUGGGGAGCAAACAGG
rnacentral:rRNA from 1 species